GAGUUCAACUGACUCGAUUCAGUUUGGUUCUAAAAGAGGGGUAAAGAAACCCUAAAAUAACAACAACUACUUUCUUCUUCCCAAACUCAGAACACGAUCUUCCUCACUGCCAAAACACAAUCUCUAAUGGCCAUGAAUCAUAACAAAAAGAAAAAAAAACAACACCUUUGUCUUUCUACAUCGCUCCUCUCAUCUAUUUUUUCAAUCAAAACACAAACAUUCAUGGCCACAAAAAAAAUCGAUUUCCAACCGAACAAAAAAAACAUCCAUACGGCCAAACUCAGUUUACACAGAGAGAGUCCGCACAUCACAACACACAAACGAAUCAAAACUCACAUCACAACACACAAACGAAACAACACGACCAUCAUGAAAUCGAAAUAGAAAUCAAACCAAAAGUUAACACAUUCAACAAAGUCAGCAUAAAUAAGAUGAAGAUAAUGUUUAAAAAUGCGAAGACGAAAGAAAUUCUACCCAGAAAUGUAGCUCCUGCAGAGGCACGACUCAGGUGAAAACAAGACAAAAAAAAGAUCUCUUGCCAAGGGAAUCAAUCCAAACAAAACCAGCAAACCUCUCUUGAGAGCACCACCUAGACAUACCUUUCUUUUAUAAUUUUGCUGAUUUUUUAAAAUGUAAAAUAUGUGUGUUAUUAUUAUAAUGUAAAACUUAAAUUUUUAUU